AGUCUUUGGGGUCUCCAAUUGAAACUUUUGUGGAGUUUAAGUUGGCUGUCCUAUAGCUACGGCUUCCUGGUUUGGGGUAUUGAGCUGAGUUGGGUUAGGCUGGAUAGGCUGUUUCUAUUAUAUAAUGUAUGUUUUGGACAAUGGGUGCGCGUGGAUGGAUUUCAGCGCGACUUUAGAGUCUGAAAUCCAAACCGAAGAUCAGAUGAAAGGAUGAGGUCUCUUUUUCCACCCAGGUCUCUCUGUAUGUCUAUCUAAUUAUCAACAGCAUGUCAGUGGAAGAAGAGGGGAGUAUAGGAGGUGCUCACCUGUAGGCCUAUAUAUUGAGGAGAUGUGAGCCGCAAUGUACAGUUCAAGCGGGACUUUUCAGCGACAGAGAACCAUUUCGACCAGAGCGCAAUUUCAGGGAAUAUGGUUAUGGAGGAAGAGACAGCCACACUCGAUGGACGGCACAGGUUGUAUAAAAUAAAAUCUGAGCUGAAAUGGCUUGGUUAAAAAGGAAAGCAUUAAGCUUUUGCUUGGCUUAAUGAAAGGUUUUGUGUUGAUUUGACUUGUUGAUUAUUAGAAAUAACCUUUUAGACUAACGAGACUAGGCCUAUUUUAAAACUGGAAAAGGCAAAAGCGUGCUUCAUGGCACGGGUUACGCUAGACAUAUCUCCUCAUCCUCGAUCUAGAACUGUUGCUUGGAUUCACUAUAUCCGCCAUCCGGGGAACGUCCUUCAAUCCUGGGGCAGUGUAUUGGCGCACGAACUGAACGCGCACUCAACAAUAUGCAAUAUGUCAAGCCAUCAAAAACUUGAGAAAUGUAUGCGAAAGCUUUAAAGCCUAAUGCGAUUGUUUUUGUAGUAGGCUAGAAAUAACUUUAAUGCUCGUAUCAGUAUAGCCAAUAGGCUUAAAAAAUGUAAUAUAAUCUAAAAUGAUUAGUGUUGUCACCAUCAGCAAUCUUAAUAUGUUCGCCAAAUCCGUCAAGUGGCACACAGCACGGGACUGCUGUGCAUCUCCACGCACUAAAGAGGUCUGUGACACUGACGAACUGCGCAAGACGUUGAAUAGCAGCAGGAGGAGAGGGAGGAUGGCAGCAUGGAGUAAUCCCUCUCCACUGGGUUAAGAUGCUUACCAACGAGUUACCUUUCCACCUGAAAAUCUCCUGCCAGGCAGCCCAAACAGACUGGGCGCCGGGAGAGAUGGAGAGAUAGAGGGACCGGCAGUGGAGAGAAGAGAGCAUGAGGUGUUUGUCUGUUGUUCAGGUCGGGGUGAGGAUGCCGUCAUUUAGGUGAUGUGGCCUUCGUUCAGGUAUCCAGGCCUACUGAUCACCGAGGCACACUGUUGUGUUUAACUAACGCUCCACCCACUACUAAUUCGAAAUGGCGGUAAAAAAGAGACGCAACUGCUCCGCCCACAACCGUAAGGCUCUCCAGAGGGUAGUGAGGUCUGCACAACGCAUCACCGGGGGCAAACUACCUGCCCUCCAGGACACCUACACCACCCGAUGUUACAGGAAGGCCAUAAAGAUCAUCAAGGACAACAACCACCCGAGCCACUGCCUGUUCACCCCGCUAUCAUCCAGAAGGCGAGGUCAGUACAGGUGCAUCAAAGCUGGGACCGAGAGACUGAAAAACAGCUUCUAUCUCAAGGCCAUCAGACUGUUAAACAGCCAUCACUAACAUUGAGUGGCUGCUGCCAUCACACUGACACUGACUCAACUCCAGCCACUUUAAUAAUGGGAAUUGAUGGUAAAUGAUGUAAAAUAUAUCACUAGCCACUUUAAACAAUGCUACCUAAUAUAAUGUUACAUACCCUACAUUAUUCAUCUCAUAUGCAUACGUAUAUACUGUACUCUAUAUCAUCUACUGCAUCCUAUGUAAUACAUGUAUCACUAGCCACUUUAAGUAUGCCACUUUGUUUACAUACUCAUCUCAUGUGUAUAUACUGUACUCGAUACCAUCUACUGUAUCUUGCCUAUGCUGCUCUGUACCAUCACUCAUUCAUAUAUCUUUAUGUACAUAUUCUUUAUCCCCUUACACUGUGUAUAAGACAGUAGUUUUGGAAUUGUUAGUUAGAUUACUUGUUGGUUAUUACUGCAUUGUCGGAACUAGAAGCACAAGCAUUUUGCUACACUCGCAUUAACAUCUGCUAACCAUGUGUAUGUGACAAAUAAAAUUUGAUUUGAUUUUGA